UACGGAGGGUGCAAACGUUGUUCGGAAUCAUUGGGCGUAAAGCGCACGUAGGCGGCCUGUUAAGUCGGAUGUGAAAGCCCCGGGCUCAACCCGGGAAGUGCAUUCGAAACUGGCGGGCUUGAAUAUGGAAGAGGGUCGCGGAAUUCCCGGUGUAGAGGUGAAAUUCGUAGAUAUCGGGAGGAACACCAGUGGCGAAGGCGGCGACCUGGGCCAAUAUUGACGCUGAGGUGGCGAAAGCGUGGGGAGCAAACAGGG
rnacentral:rRNA from 1 species